rnacentral:rRNA from 1 species
GGGCCCGCACAAGCGGUGGAGUAUGUGGUUUAAUUCGAUGCAACGCGAAGAACCUUACCAGGGUUUGACAUCCUGCGAAUCUCUUGGAAACAGGAGAGUGCCUUCGGGAACGCAGUGACAGGUGGUGCAUGGCUGUCGUCAGCUCGUGUCGUGAGAUGUUGGGUUAAGUCCCGCAACGAGCGCAACCCACGUCUUUAGUUGCCAGCAUUUAGUUGGGCACUCUAGAGAGACUGCCGGUGCAAACCGUGAGGAAGGUGGGGAUGACGUCAAAUCAUCACGGCCCUUACGUCCUGGGCUACACACGUGCUACAAUGCUACGGACAAAGGGCAGCAAGUUCGCGAGGACAAGCAAAUCCCAUAAACCGUGGCUCAGUUCAGAUCGUAGGCUGCAACUCGCCUACGUGAAGGCGGAAUCGCUAGUAAUCG